rnacentral:rRNA from 1 species
UACAGAGGUCCCAAGCGUUGUUCGGAUUCACUGGGCGUAAAGGGUGCGUAGGUGGCUUUGCAAGUCUGAUGUGAAAUCUCCGGGCCCAACCCGGAAAUGGCAUUAGAAACUGUGGGGCUAGAGGCUUGGAGGGGGGAACUGGAAUGCUCGGUGUAGCAGUGAAAUGCGUAGAGAUCGAGCGGAACACCAGUGGCGAAGGCGAGUUCCUGGACAAGUCCUGACACUGAGGCACGAAAGCUAGGGGAGCAAACAGG